rnacentral:rRNA from 1 species
GACGAACGCUGGCGGCGUGCUUAACACAUGCGAGUCGAACGGAAAGGCCCUGCUUUUGUGGGGUGCUCGAGUGGCGAACGGGUGAGUAACACGUGAGUAACCUGCCCUUGACUUUGGGAUAACUUCAGGAAACUGGGGCUAAUACCGGAUAGGAGCUCCUGCUGCAUGGUGGGGGUUGGAAAGUUUCGGCGGUUGGGGAUGGACUCGCGGCUUAUCAGCUUGUUGGUGGGGUAGUGGCUUACCAAGGCUUUGACGGGUAGCCGGCCUGAGAGGGUGACCGGCCACAUUGGGACUGAGAUACGGCCCAGACUCCUACGGGAGGCAGCAGUGGGGAAUAUUGCACAAUGGGCGGAAGCCGGAUGCAGCAACGCCGCGUGCGGGAUGACGGCCUUCGGGUUGUAAACCGCUUUCGCCUGUGACGAAGCGUGAGUGACGGUAAUGGGUAAAGAAGCACCGGCUAACUACGUG